rnacentral:rRNA from 1 species
GGACGUUACUAACGACGAUAUGCUUUGGGUAGCUGUAAGUAAGCGUUGAUCCAGAGAUUUCCGAAUGGGGGAACCCAGCACAAGUUAUGUUGUGUUAUCGACAAGUGAAUUCAUAGCUUGUCAGAAGGCAGACCCGGAGAACUGAAACAUCUUAGUACCCGGAGGAAGAGAAAGAAAAUUCGAUUCCCUGAGUAGCGGCGAGCGAAACGGGAAGAGCCCAAACCAAUAAGCUUGCUUAUUGGGGUUGUAGGACACUCUAUACGGAGUUACAAAGGAAUAUAUUAAACGAAUCAUCUGGAAAGUUGAAUCAAAGAAGGUAAUAAUCCUGUAGUUGAAAAUAUAUUCUCUCUUGAGUGGAUCCUGAGUACGACGGAGCACGUGAAAUUCCGUCGGAAUCUGGGAGGACCAUCUCCUAAGGCUAAAUACUCUCUAGUGACCGAUAGUGAACCAGUACCGUGAGGGAAAGGUGAAAAGUACCCCGGAAGGGGAGUGAAAGAGAACUUGAAACCGUGUGCUUACAAGUAGUCAGAGCCCGUUAAUGGGUGAUGGCGUGCCUUUUGUAGAAUGAACCGGCGAGUUACGAUCUGAUGCAAGGUUAAGCAGAAAAUGUGGAGCCGUAGCGAAAGCGAGUCUGAAUAGGGCGUAUAGUAUUUGGUCGUAGACCCGAAACCAGGUGAUCUACCCAUGGUCAGGUUGAAGUUCAGGUAACACUGAAUGGAGGACCGAACCGACUUACGUUGAAAAGUGAGCGGAUGAACUGUGGGUAGCGGAGAAAUUCCAAUCGAACUUGGAGAUAGCUGGUUCUCUCCGAAAUAGC